rnacentral:rRNA from 1 species
GCGUAAAGAGCUCGUAGGUGGUUUGUCGCGUUGUUCGUGAAAUCUCACGGCUUAACUGUGAGCGUGCGGGCGAUACGGGCAGACUUGAGUACUGCAGGGGAGACUGGAAUUCCUGGUGUAGCGGUGGAAUGCGCAGAUAUCAGGAGGAACACCGGUGGCGAAGGCGGGUCUCUGGGCAGUAACUGACGCUGAGGAGCGAAAGCGUGGGGAGCGAACAGGAUUAGAUACCCUGGUAGUCCACGCCGUAAACGGUGGGUACUAGGUGUGGGUUUCCUUCCUUGGGAUCCGUGCCGUAGCUAACGCAUUAAGUACCCCGCCUGGGGAGUACGGCCGCAAGGCUAAAACUCAAAGAAAUUGACGGGGGCCCGCACAAGCGGCGGAGCAUGUGGAUUAAUUCGAUGCAACGCGAAGAACCUUACCUGGGUUUGACAUGCACAGGACGCCGGCAGAGAUGUCGGUUCCCUUGUGGCCUGUGUGCAGGUGGUGCAUGGCUGUCGUCAGCUCGUGUCGUGAGAUGUUGGGUUAAGUCCCGCAACGAGCGCAACCCUUGUCUCAUGUUGCCAGCGGGUAAUGCCGGGGACUCGUGAGAGACUGCCGGGGUCAACUCGGAGGAAGGUGGGGAUGACGUCAAGUCAUCAUGCCCCUUAUGUCCAGGGCUUCACACAUGCUACAAUGGCCGGUACAAAGGGCUGCGAUGCCGCGAGGUUAAGCGAAUCCUUUUAAAGCCGGUCUCAGUUCGGAUCGGGGUCUGCAACUCGACCCCGUGAAGUCGGAGUCGCUAGUAAUCGCAGAUCA